AGAGUUUGAUCAUGGCUCAGGACGAACGCUGGCGGCGUGCCUAAUACAUGCAAGUAGAACGCUGAAGAGAGGAGCUUGCUCUUCUUGGAUGAGUUGCGAACGGGUGAGUAACGCGUAGGUAACCUGCCUUGUAGCGGGGGAUAACUAUUGGAAACGAUAGCUAAUACCGCAUAACAAUGGAUGACACAUGUCAUUUAUUUGAAAGGGGCAAUUGUUCCACUACAAGAUGGACCUGCGUUGUAUUAGCUAGUAGGUGAGGUAAUGGCUCACCUAGGCGACGAUACAUAGCCGACCUGAGAGGGUGAUCGGCCACACUGGGACUGAGACACGGCCCAGACUCCUACGGGAGGCAGCAGUAGGGAAUCCUCGGCAAUGGGGGCAACCCUGACCGAGCAACGCCGCGUGAGUGAAGAAGGUUUUCGGAUCGUAAAGCUCUGUUGUAAGUCAAGAACGGGUGUGAGAGUGGAAAGUUCACACUGUGACGGUAGCUUACCAGAAAGGGACGGCUAACUACGUGCCAGCAGCCGCGGUAAUACGUAGGUCCCGAGCGUUGUCCGGAUUUAUUGGGCGUAAAGCGAGCGCAGGCGGUUUGAUAAGUCUGAAGUUAAAGGCUGUGGCUCAACCAUAGAUCGCUUUGGAAACUGUCAAACUUGAGUGCAGAAGGGGAGAGUGGAAUUCCAUGUGUAGCGGUGAAAUGCGUAGAUAUAUGGAGGAACACCGGUGGCGAAAGCGGCUCUCUGGUCCGUAACUGACGCUGAGGCUCGAAAGCGUGGGGAGCGAACAGGAUUAGAUACCCUGGUAGUCCACGCCGUAAACGAUGAGUGCUAGGUGUUGGAUCCUUUCCGGGAUUCAGUGCCGCAGCUAACGCAUUAAGCACUCCGCCUGGGGAGUACGACCGCAAGGUUGAAACUCAAAGGAAUUGACGGGGGCCCGCACAAGCGGUGGAGCAUGUGGUUUAAUUCGAAGCAACGCGAAGAACCUUACCAGGUCUUGACAUCCCGAUGCUAUUUCUAGAGAUAGAAAGUUACUUCGGUACAUCGGUGACAGGUGGUGCAUGGUUGUCGUCAGCUCGUGUCGUGAGAUGUUGGGUUAAGUCCCGCAACGAGCGCAACCCCUAUUGUUAGUUGCCAUCAUUCAGUUGGGCACUCUAGCGAGACUGCCGGUAAUAAACCGGAGGAAGGUGGGGAUGACGUCAAAUCAUCAUGCCCCUUAUGACCUGGGCUGCACACGUGCUACAAUGGUUGGUACAACGAGUUGCGAGUCGGUGACGGCGAGCUAAUCUCUUAAAGCCAAUCUCAGUUCGGAUUGUAGGCUGCAACUCGCCUACAUGAAGUCGGAAUCGCUAGUAAUCGCGGAUCAGCACGCCGCGGUGAAUACGUUCCCGGGCCUUGUACACACCGCCCGUCACACCACGAGAGUUUGUAACACCCGCAGUCGGUGAGGUAACCUUUUGGAGCCAGCCGCCUAAGGUGGGACAGAUGAUUGGGGUGAAGUCGUAACAAGGUA
rnacentral:rRNA from 1 species